ACAUAUUUUAAUUUAUAAUCAUUUUAAUAAACUAAUUAAAAUUACAUUUAAAUCCACCUUCAAAUUUUUAUUACAAAAAAAUUAUUCAUUUAAAUAUAUUUAUUGUAAUCCAUCAUAUUCUUAAUUAUAAUCUGCAUCUUGAUCUGAAUUAAUUUUUAUUCUUAAAUUUUAAAUAUUAUUUUUACUAAAAAAUAUUUUUUUAACAAUGAUAUACAAAAUUAUAAAUUAAGUAAAUUUAUUCGUGGAUUAUCAAUUAUUAGACAGAUUCCUCUAAAUGAACUAAAAUACCGCCAUAUUAUUUAAGUUUCAAUAAAUUAUUAUUUACUAUUUUAGUAUUAUAAAUUAAAUUUUUA
rnacentral:rRNA from 1 species